rnacentral:sRNA from 1 species
ACUAAAGAGAAAGAAGAAGAGGACUUGAAUACGGAAGCUUGAGAGAAUGAAAG